rnacentral:rRNA from 1 species
AAACAUGGCGGUUUGAUUAUUAAUUUAACGUCUGACCUGCCCACUGAUAUUGAAGGGCCGCAGUAUUUUGACUGUGCAAAGGUAGCAUAAUCAUUAGAUUCUUGAUUAGAAUCUGGUAUGAAAGGUUUAACGAAAUAUUAACUGUCUCUGUUUGAUGUAUUUAAUUUAACUUUUUAGUAAAAAGGCUAAUAUUUAAAUGAGGGACGAGAAGACCCUAUAGAGCUUGAUAGUUGUUUUAUGGCAUUUAGAUAGUUUUUGAAUAAUUGUUGUUAUGAUAACUGUUUUACUGGGGCGGUACUAAGAUAAAUUUAACUCUUGUUUUGUUAAUAAAGAUAGUUAGAUAAUUGAAUCAUUCUAAUUGAUUUUAGAUAAAGUUACCUUAGGGAUAACAGCGUAAUUUAUUUGGAGAGUCCUUAUUGAUAAAUAUGUUUGCGACCUCGAUGUUGAAUUAAGAAUUCAGGGGGAUGGAGCAUUUUCCGUUGAGAGUCUGUUCGACUCUAAAAUUCUUACGUGAUCUGAG